GAUGAACGCUGGCGGCGUGCCUAAUACAUGCAAGUAGAACGCUGAAGGAGGAGCUUGCUCUUCUGGAUGAGUUGCGAACGGGUGAGUAACGCGUAGGUAACCUGCCUGGUAGCGGGGGAUAACUAUUGGAAACGAUAGCUAAUACCGCAUGACAACAGUUAUUGCAUGAUAACUGUUGAAAAGGGGCAACUGCUCCACUACCAGAUGGACCUGCGUUGUAUUAGCUAGUUGGUGAGGUAACGGCUCACCAUGGCGAGGAUACAUAGCAGACCGGCGAGGGGGAUCGGCCACACUGGGACUGAGACCCGGCACAGACUCCUAGGGGAGGCAGCAGUAGGGAAACUUCGGCAAUGGACGGAAGUCUGACCGAGCAACGCCGAGUGAGUGAAGAAGGUUUUCGGGUCGUAAAGCUCUGUUGUAAGAGAAGAACGAGUGUGAGAGUGGAAAGUUCACACUGUGACGGUAACUUACCAGAAAGGGACGGCUAACUACGUG
rnacentral:rRNA from 1 species